UAAAGAGCCUGUUCCUGUUUGGGUAUUAAACUGUGCUGGCAAAGUGCAUGGAAACAGAUGCUCUAGGGGAAAGGCUGAGAGAGGACAGUGCUCCCGAGAGUAUUUUGUUUUAUGAAGGAACUCUAUUAUGACUUUUCUAUCCMCCCCCCCCCCCCAAAGUACACUGGUGAGCUGUCAUCUUAGAGAGUCUGGUGUCAAAUAUGCCUGUGGGCAUAUUUGGGCAAUCAUCAUCUGGUUUCAACAUCUUAAUAAACUUCUCAGGGGAAAGGAGAGGCUGUAUUGAAGAAGAUGAUAAAAGGAAUGGCAAAGGAACUCUACAGAAAUGAAAAAAUACCACUCACUGAACAAUGAAGAAGCUGAUGCUUGUUGUGGCAGAGGACUUCCAGUGGCCAAGUAUGAACUUGACCUCAGGCUGGGAAGGACACUGUGCCAAAGUAGUACCAGAAACUUGUAUUCUUACAAGCUUGAAGAAAUGGUUGUAUGCAGAAGAAUUUUGACUUUCAGCAUGGUACACCAGUGUCAGAAAUGUUGUGCUCAUGCGCCUUUGUGAGGAUCAGGACCCACUGCGGCAAACAUAAACCCACCUGGCAUGGCUCUACUCUUGCUCCAGAAGGUUGUGGCUCAUUGUUCGAGAGACCAAUGGGUGAGCCAAAAACAGGAGGAAAAGCAGAGGAGAAAGCCUGCAACACAUCUACUCAGAUGAUAGACUCUG
rnacentral:lncRNA from 1 species